CAGUCGCCGCGGGAAUACAGAGGGUGCGAGCGUUAAUCGGAUUUACUGGGCGUAAAGCGUGCGUAGGCGGCUUCUUAAGUCGGAUGUGAAAUCCCUGAGCUUAACUUAGGAAUUGCAUUCGAUACUGGGAAGCUAGAGUAUGGGAGAGGAUGGUAGAAUUCAAGGUGUAGCGGUGAAAUGCGUAGAGAUCUGGAGGAAUACCGAUGGCGAAGGCAGCCAUCUGGCCUAAUACUGACGCUGAGGUACGAAAGCAUGGGGAGCAAACAGGAUUAGAUACCCCCGUAGUCCCUGUCUCUUAUAC
rnacentral:rRNA from 1 species